AGCAGCCGCGGUAAUUCCAGCUCCAAUAGCGUAUAUUAAAGUUGCUGCAGUUAAAAAACUCGUAGUUGAAUUUCGGGACCAAUAUGUCGGUCGUGCCUCGGUACGUACUGGCAUCGUUGGCUUCUCCCUUCUGACGAACCAUGAUGUCAUUUAUUUGGUGUCGUGGGGAAUCAGGACUGUUACUUUGAAAAAAUUAGAGUGCUUAAAGCAGGCUCACGCUUGAAUACAUUAGCAUGGAAUAAUGAAAUAGGACGUUUGAUUCUAUUUUGUUGGUUUCUAGGAUCGACGUAAUGAUUAAUAGGGAUAGUUGGGGGCAUUAGUAUUCAAUUGUCAGAGGUGAAAUUCUUGGAUUUAUUGAAGACUAACUACUGCGAAAGCAUUUGCCAAGGAUGUUUUCAUUAAUUAAGAACGAAAGUUAGGGGAUCGAAGACGAUCAGAUACCGUCGUAGUCUUAACCAUAAACUAUGCCGACUAGGGAUCGGAUGAUGUAAUUUUUAAUGACUCAUUCGGCG
rnacentral:rRNA from 1 species